GGAGGAUCGCUUGAGCUCAGGUGUUUGAGGCUGUGGUAAGUUGCAGUAGUACCACUGCACUCCAGCCUGAGUGACAGAGUGAGACCCUGUCUCA
rnacentral:miRNA from 1 species